rnacentral:rRNA from 1 species
GGAUGAAUAUUGGACAAUGGGUGAAAGCCUGAUCCAGCCAUCCCGCGUGAAGGACGACGGCCCUAUGGGUUGUAAACUUCUUUUGUAUAGGGAUAAACCUACCCUCGUGAGGGUAGCUGAAGGUACUAUACGAAUAAGCACCGGCUAACUCCGUGCCAGCAGCCGCGGUAAUACGGAGGGUGCAAGCGUUAUCCGGAUUUAUUGGGUUUAAAGGGUCCGUAGGCGGGCUUAUAAGUCAGUGGUGAAAUCU